ensembl:snoRNA small nucleolar RNA U3
AAGACUAUACUUUCAGGGAUCAUUUUUAUAGUUUCUGACUUGAGAAAUGUGUUUCUAGAGUGUAUGGUCUCGCUAACCACGAUGACGAGUUGUGAUAUUCCCUUUUGAGCAUGAAGGUGAUGGGAUAGUGCUGUGCUGCAUGUGUUCUCUGUCAUUGAUGAUUGCUUAUUGGUUUACUGUAGAGCAGUGAGGAAGGGAGUAUGAUCAGAGUGGCU